rnacentral:rRNA from 1 species
UUUAAUGGCCGCGGUAUUUUGACCGUGCAAAGGUAGCAUAAUCAUUAGUUUUUUAAUUGAAAGCUGGAAUGAAAGGUUGAAUGAGAAAAUAACUGUCUUUUUAAUAUUUAAUUAGAACUUUAUCUUUAAGUUAAAAAGCUUAAAUUAAAUUUAAAGACGAGAAGACCCUUUAGAGUUUUAUAUUAGUUUAAUUUUUGAUUUUUUAGAAUUUAGUAUUAAAAAAUUAACUUUUAUUUAAUUGGGGUGAUUGAAAAAUUUAAUAAACUUUUUUUUUUACUUAACAUUAAUAUAUGAAUAAUUGAUCCAUAUUUUAUGAUUAUAAGAUUAAAUUACCUAAGGGAUAACAGCGUUAUUUUUUUUGAGAGUUCUUAUCGAAAAAAAAGAUUGCGACCUCGAUGUUGGAUUAAAAUUAAAUUAUGGUGUAGAGGCUAUAACUUUAGGUCUGUUCGACCUUUAAAAUUUUACAUGAUCUGAGUUUAAACCGGUUUGAGCCAGGUUGGUUUCUAUCUUAAAUAUAUAAUAAUAUUUUAGUACGAAAGGACCAAAUAUUAUACUUAUAAUAUUUUAUUUUGAAUUAAACUAAAUUAAUA